rnacentral:rRNA from 1 species
UCCUACGGGCGUCCGCAUUGUAAUCUAUAGAGGCGUUUUCUGUGCUGGACCGUGUCCAAGUCCCUUGGAACAGGGUAUCAAAGAGGGUGACAAUCCCGUACUUGACACGACAACCAGUGCUCUGUGAUACGUCUUCUACGAGUCGAGUUGUUUGGGAAUGCAGCUCAAAAUGGGUGGUGAAUUCCAUCUAAAGCUAAAUAUUGGCGAGAGACCGAUAGCGAACAAGUACCGUGAGGGAAAGAUGAAAAGCACUUUGGAAAGAGAGUUAAACAGUAUGUGAAAUUGUUGAAAGGGAAACGAUGGAGGUCAGUCGUGUCUGUGGGAUUCAGCCGUCUCUGGCGGUGUACUUCCCACAGACGGGUCAACAUCAGUUUUGGCUGGCGGAUAAAGGCAGGAGGAAGGUGGCACCCCCGGGUGUGUUAUAGCCUCUUGUUGCAUACGCUGGCUGAGACUGAGGAAUGCAGCUCGCCUUUAUGGCCGGGGUUCGCCCACGUUCGAGCUUAGGAUGUUGACAUAAUGGC